GGAGAGAAAUGUCUCUAUGUAAAAAGAUUGUCAAGAAAGAGAGAUUAUUGGGCUGGAGAGAUGACUCAGCCGUUAAAGGCUAGGUUCACAACCAAAAUAUA
ensembl:miRNA